ACUGGUAUACGAAUCGUCGCGAUUGGUAUAAAAACGAGGAGCAUCAGCCUGGUUUAUCGUAAAAGUAUUUCAAUCGUUGAGUACUACACUAAUUGCCGUUCAUCAUGAAAGCAGCAGCCUGUCUGAUCUUCGCCGCGUUGGUAUUCUUCCAACUUUACAAUACCAUCCACGCUGAAAAAGCUGAACCGGAUUACAUCUACACACAAUAAUGAGGAUUAACCAGCGCUGGCAUUUCCAUGGCUUGCAACGGACUUAUACCUGCAGUUUUGACCAAUGACACCGUUCACCGAUUUAAAAUUAUAUUACGAGACACCCAAAUACCAAAACUAUUUUGACGAUUGCAUUGUGAUUAAUAAUAAAGCAUGUUUUGAGUUGUAAAAA